CGGAACGUAGUUCAGCCUGGUAGAACGCUGCGUUCGGGUCGCAGAGGUCAGUGGUUCGAAUCCACCCGUUCCGA
rnacentral:tRNA from 1 species